UGGGGAAUUUUGGACAAUGGGCGAAAGCCUGAUCCAGCAAUGCCGCGUGUGUGAAGAAGGCCUUCGGGUUGUAAAGCACUUUUGUCCGGAAAGAAAUCCUUGGCUCUAAUACAGUCGGGGGAUGACGGUACCGGAAGAAUAAGCACCGGCUAACUACGUGCCAGCAGCCGCGGUAAUACGUAGGGUGCAAGCGUUAAUCGGAAUUACUGGGCGUAAAGCGUGCGCAGGCGGUUUGCUAAGACCGAUGUGAAAUCCCCGGGCCCAACCUGGGAACUGCAUUGGUGACUGGCAGGCUAGAGUAUGGCAGAGGGGGGCUAGAAUUCCACGUGUAGCAGUGAAAGUGCGUAGAGAUGUGGAGGAAUACCGAUGGCGAAGGCAGCCCCCUGGGCCAAUACUGACGCUCAUGCACGAAAGCGUGGGGAGCAAACAGGAUUAGAUACCCUGGUA
rnacentral:rRNA from 1 species